rnacentral:tRNA from 1 species
ACUCAUUAAGUAUAGUAUUGUACGAUCGCCUUCCAAGUGAUAAGUUUAAGUAAAUUCUUAAAAUGAGUA